GACGAACGCUGGCGGCAGGCUUAACACAUGCAAGUCGAGCGAGAAGCCUACCUUCGGGUAGGGGGAAAGCGGCAGACGGGUGAGUAACGCGUGGGAACAUGCCCUUCGGUACGGAACAACAGUUAGAAAUGACUGCUAAUACCGUAUGCGACCUCCGGGUGAAAGAUUUAUCGCCGAGGGAUUGGCCCGCGUUGGAUUAGCUUGUUGGUGGGGUAACGGCCUACCAAGGCGACGAUCCAUAGCUGUUCUGAGAGGAAGAUCAGCCACACUGGGACUGAGACACGGCCCAGACUCCUACGGGAGGCAGCAGUGGGGAAUAUUGGACAAUGGGCGCAAGCCUGAUCCAGCCAUGCCGCGUGGAUGAAGAAGGCCCUAGGGUUGUAAAAUCCUUUCGCUAGGGAAGAUAAUGACGGUACCUAGACAAGAAGCCCCGGCUAAUUUCG
rnacentral:rRNA from 1 species